rnacentral:ncRNA from 1 species
AUGCUCCAUUAUAUAUCUCAUAUACAUAAGUUCUUCUUGUUACGAGAAAUAACAAUACAGGACUUGUAUCCGAGACCUGUAAUUAGAAUGAGUGCACUUUAAAUCCUUUAACAAGGACCUAUUGGAGGGCAAGUAUGGUGUCAGCAGCUACCCUAAUUCCAGCUCAAUUGGGCUUGUACAUUACUCUAUGGUAAGUGAGUGUAUUGCCGGUGGAGUUCUAAUAUAUUAUGGUAUUAUAGCGUAUAUUUCCCAUUCAAACCUACUUCAGUGCUCAUCAUCGAGUGUUGUUUUGGCCCGGUACAAUUACUUCAAAUAUAUUAGAGUGCUUAAAGCAAGCUUCAAAUACCUGAAUAUUUGUGCAUGGAAUAAUGGAAUAAGAACUCUGUUAUACUUUCAUAGAAUAGAAGCAGUAUGGGGUCAUUAAUAUUAGAAUGCUAGAAGAGAAAUUGUUGGACCGUCGUAAAACAAACUUAAGCGAAAGCAUUUGCCAAAGAUAUUUUCACCAAGAACAAAAGUUUUAGUUAGAGGGCGAGCACACUAGUUCUAGCCAUAAACGAUGCCAUCUAGGAAUUGGGUGAAGCUACUUUAUGGUCCUUUCAAUCUCUUCCCGGGAAACAAAAGCUUGUCGUG